rnacentral:rRNA from 1 species
GAUGAACGCUGGCGGCGUGCCUAAUACAUGCAAGUCGAGCGAACAGACGAGGAGCUUGCUCCUCUGACGUUAGCGGCGGACGGGUGAGUAACACGUGGAUAACCUACCUAUAAGACUGGGAUAACUUCGGGAAACCGGAGCUAAUACCGGAUAAUAUAUUGAACCGCAUGGUUCAAUAGUGAAAGACGGUUUUGCUGUCACUUAUAGAUGGAUCCGCGCCGCAUUAGCUAGUUGGUAAGGUAACGGCUUACCAAGGCAACGAUGCGUAGCCGACCUGAGAGGUUGACCGCCCACACUGGAACAGCCACCCGCCCCACCCCCUCACGGGAGGCCCCUGAGCGGCAUUUUCCACAGGGGAGGAAAGCCGGAGGCACCAACCCCGCGUGAUUAAUAAUGUUCUUCGGACCGUAAACCUCUUUAAUAGGGAAACAACAAUUGUGUAUAUAAUUACCCCCUUCUUGGCGUCCCCUAAUAGGAAAGCCCCCCCUAGCUGCCUG